CGGGUGAGUAAUGUCUGGGAAACUGCCUGAUGGAGGGGGAUAACUACUGGAAACGGUAGCUAAUACCGCAUAACGUCGCAAGACCAAAGAGGGGGACCUUAGGGCCUCUUGCCAUCGGAUGUGCCCAGAUGGGAUUAGCUAGUAGGUGGGGUAACGGCUCACCUAGGCGACGAUCCCUAGCUGGUCUGAGAGGAUGAUCAGCCACACUGGAACUGAGACACGGUCCAG
rnacentral:rRNA from 1 species